GCAUUAUACCGCGAAACUGCGAAUGGCUCAUUAAAUCAGUUAUCGUUUAUUUGAUAGUACCUUUCCUACUUGGAUAACCGUGGUAAUUCUAGAGCUAAUACAUGCUAAAAAUCCCGACUUCGGAAGGGAUGCAUUUAUCAGAUACAGAACCAAUGCCCUCCGGGGCUCACUGGUGAAUCAUGAUAACUCCGCGGAUCGCACGGCCUUGCGCUGGCGAUGGUUCAUUCAAAUUUCUGCCCUAUCAACUUUCGACGGCUGGGUCUUGGCCAGCCGUGGUGACAACGGGUAACGGAGGGUUAGGGCUCGACCCCGGAGAAGGAGCCUGAGAAACGUAAGCCUAAAUUUCCCCUCUACCCCCCCCCUCUUCCCCCCAUCUCUCAGCACGCAGACACUAACUCGAUUUUCUACAGGGCUACUACAUCCAAGGAAGGCAGCAGGCGCGCAAAUUACCCAAUCCCGACACGGGGAGGUAGUGACAAUAAAUACUGAUCCAGGGCUCUUUUGGGUCUUGGAAUUGGAAUGAGUACAAUUUAAAUCCCUUAACGAGGAACAAUUGGAGGGCAAGUCUGGUGCCAGCAGCCGCGGUAAUUCCAGCUCCAAUAGCGUAUAUUAAAGUUGUUGAGGUUAAAAAGCUCGUAGUUGAACCUUGGGCCUGGCUGGCCGGUCCGCCUCACCGCGUGCACUGGUCCGGCCGGGCCUUUCCCUCUGGGGAACCUCAUGCCCUUCACUGGGUGUGCUGGGGAACCAGGACUUUUACUCUGAACAAAUCAGAUCGCUCAAAGAGGCUCUCGCUCGAAUGCAUUAGCAUGGAAUAAUGGAAUAGGACGCGCGGUCC
rnacentral:rRNA from 1 species